CACCCACUCGCCAUUGGGCUGCAGUUACCCAUACUUGAACUAGCGCGAGCCAACCAACACUAAAUGAAAAUGGAGGACUGAACGUGGACCGUGCAAGAACCUAACAUAUCGUCGAGGUUUACAAGUGGGUCGAAUUGUCCAAGAUCCCACUAUCAGGCCUGUGAUGAUUACUGAUCAGAACCUGCUGUGUGCGGAAUCUGAAAUCAUCAGAUAAGCCCUCGAUCAGUCCCACCACUACAGAUCAGCAGCUAUUCUAGAGGACUAUAAAGCCGUGAAGGAGGACGGAGAAGA